UUUGAUUUAGAUGCACCGACCUUAACUCUCUAUAACUUCGUCAUUAAAACUCCAAAUUCAUCAAAUAGUAUAUAAAAAGUGUAGUUACAAAAGUAUUUUUUCUAAUUCUAGUCACCAAUCCUUUGUUGCUUUCCAUAAAUAUAUGUUAUGUCCAAAAAAGUGACAAUAGUUAUGAAAUUGAUACCUAAACUUUGAGCAUCAAUAAUUCCUUCAUAAAAACUCCAAAUCAUACAAAAUUGCAUCCAAUCCAUAUCCAAAAAUCUAAAUUUGAUGAUUCU
rnacentral:lncRNA from 1 species